CCUUUCAUGCCUGCCUAAGCAUACAUUGUAGAUGUAUCUAGUGUAUAUAUAUAUAUGUAUAAAUGGAUCAGAAAAGUGUUUUUUGGGUGAAUUAUUUCAUUAUAAUCCUUAUAAACAUGAUAAAGAUUGACAUGUUAUUGAACAGUAAUAUGACAUGUAUGAUGUGUGCUUUUUCCAAAUAUAAUGAUAUAUAAUCAUAAGACAUAUAUAAUUCCAGAGAACUACUUUGCAAUUUUUCUUGUGAUAAUUACCAUGUUACAUUAUAAUAUAUUUUCAGUCUGUUCAAUAUAAAUACUGAUCUAAUCAUAAAAUGUUGAUUUCUGACAAAUUUUUAUACGGCCGCAAAAAAAAUUUUGUGGUCGUAUAUUGGUAUGACAUUGGCGUCGUCGUCAUCGUCCGAAGACACAUUAGUUUUCGCACUCUUAUUUUAGUUUAAGUGAAUGGAUCUCACUGAAAUUUUACCAUAAGGUUCAAUACCACAAAAGGAAGGUUGGGAUUGAUUUUGGGGGUUAUGGUAAUAACAGUUAAGGAAUUAGGGGCCAAAAAUAAGCAUUUUUGUAACUUCCAGACAUAACUUGUGUGUUAGUGUAUGGAUCUCUCUGACAUUGUACCACAAGGUUCCAUAUCACUAAAGGAAUGCUGGGAUUGAUUUUGGGGGUAAUUGCCUCCAAAUUUUAGGAAUUAGGGGCCAAAAAAGGGGCAAAAACAAGCAUUUUUCUAGUUUCAUGACAAUAACUUGUGUGUAAGUGUAUGGAUCUUUCUGAAAUUGUACUACAAGGUUCCAUAUCACAAAGGGAAAGCUGGGUUUGAGUUUGGGGGUAAUUGCCCUAAACGUUUAGGAAUUUGGGGCCAAAAAGGGGCCAAAAAAACACAUUUUUUUCUAGUUUCCAGACAAUAACUUGUGUUCAAGUGUAUGGAUCUCUCUGAAAUUGUACUGCAAGGUACCAUACCACAAAGGGAAGGCUGGGAUUGAGUUUUGGGGUGAUGAAUCAUAAUGGGGGUUCAAAAAAUUUUGGGGGGGGGAUUUAUUUUUUUUUCCUUUUUUUUCUUUUUUUCCUUUUUUGUUUCUUUUAAAAUUUUCCAUUUUAAGUUGGUUAUUUCUGAUUUAUAUUUAAAAUCAAAUAAUAAUGAUAUGGUAGGAGAUACACACCAAACAGGAUGUGUAAAUUAUUAUAUAAUAAGUAUUGUGCAAUAGCAAGAAAUUUUCAAUUGCACAGUAUUGCACAAUAGCAAGAAAUCUUCAAUUGCACAGUAUUGCGCAAUAGCAAGAAAUCUUCAAUUGCACAGUAUUGCGCAAUAGCAAGAAAUAUCCAAUAGCACAAUAUUGCGCAAUAGUAAGAAAUUGUCAAUUGUACAGUAUUGCGCAAUAGCAAGAAAUAUUUAAUAGCACAGGAUUGUGCAAAAGAAGAUACUUCCUAUAAAUUGCUUAUUUCUUGACCAAUUUCAAUGGGGUUUUAUUCUUGAUUUCAUGGGGUUCUUUAAUAUGCUGAAUAUAACCGUGUAUUUAGUUUUUGGAUUUUGGGCCCCGUUUUUAAAUUGGUCCACAUUGAGGUCCAAAGGGUCCAAAAUUAAACUUUGUUUGAUUUCAUCAAAAAUUGAAUUAUUGGGGUUCUUUGAUAUGCCGAAUCUAACUGUGUAUUUAGAUUCUUAAAUUUUGGUUCCGUUUUCAAAUUGGUCUACAUUAAGGUCCAAAGGGUCCAAAAUUAAACUUAGUUUGAUUUUAACAAAAAUUGAAUUCUUAGGGUUCUUUGAUAUGCUGAAUCUAAACAUGUAUUUAGAUUUUUGAUUAUGGGCCCAGUUUUCAAGUUGGUCCAAAUCGGGGUCCAAAAUUAAACUUUGUUUGAUUUCAACAAAAAUUGAAUAUAUGGGGUUCUUUGAUAUGCCGAAUCUAACCGUGUAUUUAGAUUCUUAAUUUUUGGUUCCGUUUUCAAAUUGGUCUACAUUAAGGUCCAAAGGGUCCAAAAUUAAACUUAGUUUGAUUUUAACAAAAAUUGAAUUCUUAGGGUUCUUUAAUAUGCUGAAUCUAAACAUGUAUUUAGAUUUUUGAUUAUGGGCCCAGUUUUCAAGUUGGUCCAAAUCGGGGUCCAAAAUUAAACUUUGUUUGAUUUCAACAAAAAUUGAAUAUAUGGGGUUCUUUGAUAUGCUGAAUCUAACCAUGUAUUUAGAUUUUUGAUUUUUGGGCCCCGUUAUCAACUUUGUCCACAUUGAGGUCAAAAGGGUCCGAAAUGAAACUUUGUUUGAUUUCAUCAAAAAUUGAAUUCUUGGGGUUCUUUGAUAUGCUGAAUCUAACCAUGUAUUUAGAUUUUGGAUAUUGGACCAUAAUAGGUGAAUGUCCAAUUUAAAAUUUUUAAGUUCUUAGACCACAUUCAAUCUGUGUUAGAAACCUAUGCUGUGUCAAAUAUUUAAUCACAAUCCAAAUCCAAAGCUGUAUCAAGCUUGAAUGUUGUGUCCAUACUUCCCCCAACUGUUCAGGGUUCGACCUCUGCGGUCGUAUCAAGCUGCGCCCUGCGGAGCAUUUUAUUAAUUCUAUUAUAAAAUAGAUUAAGUUAGCACUAUGGUAAAUUUAAAUGGGUAAUUAUGGUUGCCAACUCCAUUGGAAAUUUGAAUUGAAAUUAUGACCAUAUCUUGAGGGAAAGAAUUUUUUUUGGGAAAAAAGGGGGGGGGGGAUAAAAAAAAUUGUGGGGGGUCAAUUUUUUCACAUUUCAGAUUUCAGAAAUUAAAAAGAAUUAUUCUUCAAAUAUUAUUUUUUUUUCAAAUUUCAAAUAUUGAAAAAUUUCAAGAAGUAAUCUUUAAUUGCACAGUAUGGCGCAUUAGAUUUGUAAAAUCUUUGAUCACAUUUAUUUAUUUGUUAUGCCGAAUCUAACAGUGUAUUUAGAUUUUUAAUUUUGGGUCCAGUUUUCAAAUUGGUCUACAUUAAGGUCCAAAGGGUCCAAAAUUAAACUUUGUUUGAUUUUAGCAAAAAUGGAAUAUAUGAGGUUCUUUGAUAUGCUGAAUCUAAACAUGUAUUUAGAUUUUUGAUUUUUGGCCCAGUUUUCAAGUUGGUCCAAAUUGGGGUCCAAAAUUAAACUUUGUUUGAUUUCAACAAAAAUUGAAUAUAUGGGGUUCUUUGAUAUGCUGAAUCUAACCAUGUAUUUAGAUUUUUUAUUUGUGGACCCCUUUAUCAAAUUGGUUCAUAUUGAGGUCAAAAGGGUCCAAAAUUAAACUUUGUUUGAUUUCAUCAAAAAUUGAAUUAUUGGGGUUCUUUGAUAUUCCAAAUCUAACCGUGUAUUUAGAUUUCUAAUUUAAAGUCCCGUUUUUAUACGACCGCAAAAAAAUUUUUGUGGUCGUAUAUUGGUAUGACGUCGUCGUCGUCGUCGUCGUCGUCCGGCGUCGUCCUGCGUCGUCCGAAGACACAUUGGUUUUCGCACUCUAACUUUAGUUUAAGUGAAUGGAUCUCUAUGAAAUUUUACCACAAGGUUCAAUACCACAAAAGGAAGGUUGGGAUUGAUUUUGGGGGUUAUGGUACCAACAGUAAAGGAAUUAGGGGCCAAAAAGGGGCCAAAAAUAAGCAUUUUUGUAACUUCCAGACAUAACUUGUGUGUUAGUGUAUGGAUCUCUCUGACAUUGUACCACAAGGUUCCAUAUCACAAAAGGAAUGCUGGGAUUGAUUUUGGGGGUAAUGGCCUCAAAAUUUUAGGAAUUAGGGGCCAAAAAAGGGGCAAAACACAAGCAUUUUUCUAGUUUCAUGACAAUAACUUGUAAGUGUAUGGAUCUUUCUGAAAUUGUACUACAAGGUUCCAUAUCAUAAAGGGAAAGCUGGAAUUGAGUUUUGGGGUAAUAGCCGAAAUAUUUAGGAAUUGGGGGCCAAAAAGGGGCCAAAAAUAAGCAUUUUUCUAGUUUCCAGACAAUAACUUGUGUUCAAGUGUAUGGAUCUCUCUGAAAUUGUACUGCAAGGUACCAUACCACAAAGGGAAGGCUGGGAUUGAUGAUGGGGGUAAUUGCCUCAAUAUUUUAGGAAUAAGGGGCCAAAAAGGGGCAAAAAAACAAGCAUUUUUACAGUUUCAGGACAAUAACUUGUGUGUAAGUGUAUGGAUCUCUCUGAAAUUGUACUGCAAGGUACCAUACCACAAAGGGAAGGCUGGGAUUGAUGAUGGGGGUAAUUGCCUCAAUAUUUUAGGAAUUUGGGGCCAAAAAGGGGCCAAAAAACACAUUUUUCUAGUUUCCAGACAAUAACUUAUGUUCAAGUGUAUGGAUCUCUCUGAAAUUGUACUGCAAGGUACCAUACCACAAAGGGAGGCUGGGAUUGAGUUUGGGGGUGAUGAAUCAUAAGGGGGUUCAAAAAAUUUGGGGGGGGGAUUUUUUUUUUUUUCAUUUUUUUUCUUUUUUUCAUUUUUUAAAAUUUUUCUUUUAAAAUUUUCCAUUUUAAGUUGGUUAUUUCUGAUUUAUAUUUAAAAGCAAAUAAUAAUGAUAUGGUAGGAGAUACACACCAAACAGGAUGUGUAAAUUAUUAUAUAAUAAGUAUUGUGCAAUAGCAAGAAAUUUUCAAUUGCACAGUAUUGCACAAUAGCAAGAAAUCUUCAAUUGCACAGUAUUGUGCAAUAGCAAGAAAUCUUCAAUUGCACAGUAUUGCGCAAAAGCAAGAAAUAUCCAAUAGCACAAUAUUGCGCAAUAGCAAGAAAUUGUCAAUUGUACAGUAUUGCGCAAUAGCAAGAAAUAUUUAAUUGCACAGUAUUGUGCAAAAGAAGAUACUUUGUAUAAAUUGCUUAUUUCUUGACCAAUUUCAAUGGGGUUUUAUUCUUGAAUUCUUGGGGUUCUUUAAUAUGCUGAAUCUAACCGUGUAUUUAGUUUUUGGAUUUUGGGCCCCGUUUUUAAAUUGGUCCACAUUGAGGUCCAAAGGGUCCAAAAUUAAACUUUGUUUGAUUUCAUCAAAAAUUGAAUUAUUGGGGUUCUUUGAUAUGCCGAAUCUAACCGUGUAUUUAGAUUCUUAAAUUUUGGUUCCGUUUUCAAAUUGGUCUACAUUAAGGUCCAAAGGGUCCAAAAUUAAACUUAGUUUGAUUUUAACAAAAAUUGAAUUCUUAGGGUUCUUUGAUAUGCUGAAUCUAAACAUGUAUUUAGAUUUUUGAUUAUGGGCCCAGUUUUCAAGUUGGUCCAAAUCGGGGUCCAAAAUUAAAUUUGUUUGAUUUCAACAAAAAUUGAAUAUAUGGGGUUCUUUGAUAUGCUGAAUCUAACCAUGUAUUUAGAUUUUUGAUUUUUGGGUCCCGUUAUCAACUUUGUCCACAUUGAGGUCAAAAGGGUCCAAAAUUAAACUUUGUUUGAUUUCAUCAAAAAUUGAAUUAUUGGGGUUCUUUGAUAUGCCGAAUCUAACCGUGUAUUUAGAUUCUUAAUUUUUGGUUCGGUUUUCAAAUUGGUCUACAUUAAGGUCCAAAGGGUCCAAAAUUAAACUUAGUUUGAUUUUAACAAAAAUUGAAUUCUUAGGGUUCUUUGAUAUGCUGAAUCUAAACAUGUAUUUAGAUUUUUUAUUAUGGGCCCAGUUUUCAAGUUGGUCCAAAUCGGGGUCCAAAAUUAAAAUUUGUUUGAUUUCAACAAAAAUUGAAUAUAUGGGGUUCUUUGAUAUGCUGAAUCUAACCAUGUAUUUAGAUUUUUGAUUUUUGGGCCCCGUUAUCAACUUUGUCCACAUUGAGGUCAAAAGGGUCCAAAAUUAAACUUUGUUUGAUUUCAUCAAAAAUUGAAUUCUUGGGGUUCUUUGAUAUGCUGAAUCUAACCAUGUAUUUAGAUUUUGGAUAUUGGACCAUAAUAGGUGAAUGUCCAAUUUAAAAUUUUUAAGUUCUUAGACCACAUUCAUUCUUUGUCAGAAACCUAUGCUGUGUCAAAUAUUUAAUCACAAUCCAAAUGCAAAGCUGUAUCAAGCUUGAAUGUUGUGUCCAUACUUGCCCCAACUGUUCAGGGUUCGACCUCUGCG